rnacentral:rRNA from 1 species
UACGUAGGCAGCGAGCGUUGUUCGGAGUUACUGGGCGUAAAGAGUGCGUAGGCGGUUUUCUAAGUUUGGUGUGAAAUCUCCCGGCUUAACUGGAAGGGUGCGCCGAAAACUGGAAGGCUUGAGUAUGGGAGAGGUAAGCGGAAUUCCUGGUGUAGCGGUGAAAUGCGUAGAUAUCAGGAGGAACACCUGCGGUGUAGACGGCUUACUGGACCAUAACUGACGCUGAGGCACGAAAGCUAGGGGAGCAAACGGG